rnacentral:lncRNA from 1 species
AACUACAAUGUGAAUGACACUUUGAUCCUCAAACAUUAAUUUAUUAUCGGAUAAAUCAUAGUUAGUUAAUUCGGAUUCGGCAAAAAUUCGGUACGAAUAUAAUUCGGAUAAAAUUCGUUUUCUAAUUUUUAAAUUUGUUAAAAAAUACGGCUAAAAAACGGAUUCGUCAAUUAUUCGGAUACGUAAUUUAUACGGAUAUUAUACGUUCACCAAUUAAAAAUUCGGGAUCAAAAAUUCGGCUAUUAAAUUAAUUUUUUUUUCUCUCAAAAUUUAUACUAUUAACAUAAAUACUCAUAUUUUUUAAAAAUAUAAAAAUAAAGAGCUACAAAAUUAAGCUAAUUAAGUACAAAAAAUAGUAAGCUAUAUUAUGCCUCAAAAUAAAUAAUUAAUUAAGCAAAUAAUUUUAUACAAGAAUUUUAUAUUUAUCAUUUAAAAAAUUCGAAAAAUUCUCCUAUUAAAUUAAAAUUUUUCUUUAGAUAUAUUAUUAUCAUAAAUAGUUAUAAUAUAUAUAUAUAUAUAUAGAGAGAGAGAGAGAGAAAGAGAGAGAGAGAGAGAGAGAGAGAGAGAGAGAGAAAGAGAGUGGGCUGGUACGCUUAUGGAAGUACGGAGCCCUCCGUGCUUCCAUUUUGUUUUCGAUGUUCGGACUUUCAAAUCGACGAUCGGCUCCAUUAGAGUUGAUCUAGAGUAUCUGAAGUACCUAGAAAAUAAAUUUUGUGAUUUUUCAAUAUCACUUGCCUAGUGAUCGAAGGGGCUCAAAAUCAAUAAUUUUAAUGGCCGUGGUGAGCCGGUUGCAAGUUUAACGGUGUAGAAAUAUUCAAAUCGCAUGAAAUUUUGAUAGAAAAUUCUUUAUACGAUAUAAAACAAGAUCAAUAACUUUGAUCUAAAAUUUUAAUGUCAUAUCAUCAUAUUUUGUAAGAUUUUUAUUUUCAGCCGUUGAUUUUGAGCUACUUCGAUCACUAGGCAAAUGAUAUCGAAAAAUCGCAAAAUUUAUUUUCUAGAUACUUCAAAUACUCAAGAUCAAGUCUAACGGAGCCGAUCGUCGAUUCGAAAGUCCGAACAUCGAAAACAAAGUGAAAGUACAAAGCGCUCCGUACUUCCAUAAGCAUACCAGACGCACUAUAUAUAUAUAUAUAUAUAUA